rnacentral:misc_RNA from 1 species
AAGUCGUAACAAGGUUUCCGUAGGUGAACCUGCGGAAGGAUCAUUAAUGGGAAAAGGUAGCUGAUUGCUACUAUUUUAUUUUGUAGUCCAUGUGAAAAGAGAUCGGGCGGCGUUGUGAGAUGCCGGUCGAGGACAGCGGUAUGCAUUUUGCUGCUGGACGAAUUACCAUUUUUUAAAGCAUAAAGAUGGAGAAUGUGUUGUAUUGUGGAGCAAACAAGUAAAAACUUUCAGUGAUGGAUCUCUUGGCUCUC